UAUGUAGGGCGAGAGAUAGGCAAAUCCGUCUCUCACAUAGCCUGAGACCCGAUGGGUAGUCCUCACGGACGAAAUCAGUGAUCCUAUGCUGCCAAGAAAAGCAUCGAUGCGAGGUUCCAGUCACCCGUACCCCAAACCGACUCAGGUGGUCAGGUAGAGAAUACCAAGGAGAUCGAGAGAAUCGUGGUUAAGGAACUCGGCAAAAUGCCCCCGUAACUUCGGGAGAAGGGGGGCCUGAGGCGUGAAGGGAUUUACUCCUGGAGCGUUUGAAGGCCGCAGAGACCAGUGGGAAGCGACUGUUUACUAAAAACACAGGUCCGUGCUAAGUCGCAAGACGAUGUAUACGGACUGACGCCUGCCCGGUGCUGGAAGGUUAAGAGGAACGGUUAGCCGCAAGGCGAAGCUGAGAAUUUAAGCCCCAGUAAACGGCGGUGGUAACUAUAACCAUCCUAAGGUAGCGAAAUUCCUUGUCGGGUAAGUUCCGACCUGCACGAAUGGCGUAACGACUUCCCAGCUGUCUCAACCGCGAACUCGGCGAAAUUGCACUACGAGUAAAGAUGCUCGUUACGCGCAGAAGGACGGAAAGACCCCGUGACCUUUACUAUAGCUUUGUAUUGGUGUUCGGUGUGGCUUGUGUAGGAUAGGUGGGAGACUGUGAAGCUUGGACGCUAGUUCAGGUGGAGUCAUUGUUGAAAUACCACUCUGGUCACUCUGGAUAUCUAACUUCGGACCGUAAUCCGGUUCAGGGACAGUGCAUGGUGGGUAGUUUAACUGGGGCGGUUGCCUCCCAAAAAGUAACGGAGGCGCCCAAAGGUUCCCUCAACCUGGUUGGCAAUCAGGUGUCGAGUGUAAGUGCACAAGGGAGCUUGACUGUGAGACUGACAAGUCGAGCAGGGACGAAAGUCGGGACUAGUGAUCCGGCAGUGGCUUGUGGAAGCGCUGUCGCUCAACGGAUAAAAGGUACCUCGGGGAUAACAGGCUGAUCUUGCCCAAGAGUCCAUAUCGACGGCAUGGUUUGGCACCUCGAUGUCGGCUCGUCGCAUCCUGGGGCUGGAGUAGGUCCCAAGGGUUGGGCUGUUCGCCCAUUAAAGCGGUACGCGAGCUGGGUUUAGAACGUCGUGAGACAGUUCGGUCCCUAUCCUCUGCGCGCGCAGGAAAUUUGAGAAGAGCUAUCCCUAGUACGAGAGGACCGGGAUGGACGAACCUCUGGUGUGUCAGUUGUUCCGCCAGGAGCACCGCUGAUUAGCUACGUUCGGAACGGAUAACCGCUGAAAGCAUCUAAGCGGGAAGCCGGCUUCAAGAUGAGUUUUCCAUGACUUCGGUCGAGAGGCUCCCAGCUAGACUACUGGGUUGAUAGGUGGGAUGUGGAAGCGAGGACUAAAGACUCGUGGAGCUGACCCGUACUAAUAAGCCGAUAAAUUGG
rnacentral:rRNA from 1 species